GCGCGCACCGCGCUGGCCCUCUCUCCUGGGACACGCACCGCCUCCAAUCCUGGUUUAUGCUGGGAUUGUAGUCAGGCAGCCCUGUGAGCAAGUAAGAGACUACAGCUGCGAGCGAAUAAGAGACUACAGCUCUCAGAUACAGAUACAUCGAGCAGAGGUCCCUCCUCCUCCGCGUCCCUCCAGGCGUCCCGUGUCGUUUGGCGUUUUUCAGAUUAACUCUUAAGUACUCCACGGCUACAUGCUCCUGAAGCUGUUAUAGGCCCAGCCUCAGAUCUGUGCAGGGCGGAUGCACAAGAGCAGAAUCUCCGUGGACAUCUUUCUGGAGCAUCAAUUUUACUGCAAGAUUUUGAAGAAACACAUUUAAUUGAUUUUCAAGGUGAGAAAUUAAACCUCGAAAACUAGACUGGAAAGUCAUCUACGCCUGAACUAUCAGACUUUCUUCAGAAGAAAACUCUAAGGAGAACAUAUUUUCCAUUAUUAUAAAUAUUACAAAUGAGAAAUCAUAGCAAGUUACCUGAAAAUGCUGCCCUGGCAGUUUCCUAAAUCACAACAUGUCCUGGGUAUGGUUUUAGGUGUAUUUUCUUUUUGGGGUGUGUUCACCUUUUGGAUAUAAAAAUUGGGGUUUUUGACCACAUCUUGUAAGUUUUCUGCUAUUAGUAGUUUCUUUACUUUUGUACCAUAUUUAAUUUUUCUGUGUCUUCCUCUUCUUCUCAGACUCAGUCACUCCACAAGUCUCUAAAGGCUCUGUUCAUUUUCUUCAAACAUGUUUCAUGUUGGAUGAUUUCUAUUGCUGUCUUCUGUUUCUACUCUGUGGAUAAGCUCAAGGGUGUGUGUGCGUGUGUGUGUGUGCGUGUUUUCCAUUUCAUUAUUUUUCUAUUUGGUUCUUCUUAUAAUUUUCAUUUCUCUGCUGAGGUUCCACAUCAGUUAAUUCAUUAUGAGAAUAUUUUCCUUUACUCUCAUGAACAUACUCAUAAGAGCUGAUUUUAAAUCCUUGUCUGCUGAUCUGAUUACAUCAUGUUGCUUUUUAUCUUGUGUAUACAUUACAUUUUCAUCUUUCUUCACACAUUUCAUGAAUUUUAAUGUGUUCUAUGAGUUUCUGGUGGUUAUAGAGACUCUAAAUUCUGCUGUAUUCUUUUGAAGAGCAUUGUUAUUAUUUGAAGAAGGGGUUAAUUUGGCUGGAUUCAAACUGCAAUACCUGUCUCUCCUGCAGUGGGCACAGCUGAAAUCCUCAUUCAGUUCUUAUGCACAUAUAUGUAUUUUAUAUAGAUGUGUGAUUCUAUGUAACUGUAUAUACUAUGCAGAUUUUGUCACAGUUACAUGUGAGAGUGUUAGUUCAACAAUACUCCAGUACUACUGGAAGCCAGAACCUUAGUUUUGUUUGCUUACUGGAUUUUAUAUAAAUGAAAUAAUAUAGUAUGGAUACUUUUACACCUACUUUCUUUUACAUGUCAUUAUGUUUGUGAUAUUCAUCUUUGCUGUUGCAGAUUGCUAUAAUUUGUACACUUUAAAAAGCAUUGUUUACACUGUGGUAAAAUAUACAUAAAAUUAACCACUUUAACCAUUUUUAAGUGUGAAGUGUGCAGGAAUUAAAUACAUUCACAUUGUUUUGCAACCACCAUCCCCAUCUAUAGGGAACAUUUUUUAUCUUGCAAAACUGAGUCUCUGUGCUGAUUAAGCAACAGCUCCCAGUUACCCUCCCUCUAGCCCAUAGGAACCACUCUUCUACUUUGUGUUUCUAUGAAUUUAAUUACCCUAAAUACCUCACGUGAGUGGAAUCAUACAGUGUUUGUCAUUUUGUGACUGGUUUAUUGUACUUAGCACAAUGUCCUUAAGGUUUAUCUAUGUUGUAGCAUGUAUCAGAAUUUUCUUACUUUUGCUAAGUGAAUAAUAUUCCACUGCAUGUAAAAACACAUUUUGUUUACCUACGUAUUUAUUGAUGUUGAUGAUUCAAGGAAAGCUUUGAUUGUUUCACCUUUUAGCUAUUGUGAAUAAUGCUGCUAGGAACCUAGGUGUAUGUAUAUCUCUUUGUGUGCCUGCUUUCAUAUCUUUUUGAGUAUAUCCCAGAAGCAAGAUUGCUGGAUUAUAAGGUAAUUAUAAGUGUAAUUGUAUUUGUUUGUUUGUUUGUUUUUCUGAGAUGGAGUCUUGCUCUGUUGCUCAGGCUGGAGUGCAGUGGUGUGAUCUCAGCUCACUGCAACCUCCGCCUCCUGUGUUCAAGUGAUUCUUCUGCCUCAGCCUCCUGAGUAGCUGGGAUUACAGGCGUGCACCACCAUGCCUGGCUAAUUUUUUUGUAUUUUUAUUAGAGACGGGGUUUCACCAUGUUGGCCAGGCUGGUCUCAAACUCCUGAACUCGUGAUCCACCCACCUCGGUCUCCCAAAGUGCUGGGAUUACAGAUGUAAGCCACUGCGCUUGGUGAUUCUCAUGGCAGGUGCGACAUUGUACUUGCCCACCAAUAGCUUACUAGGUUUCUAAUCACUCCACAUCCUCAUCAACACUGUUAUUUUCUGUUUUUUGAUAGUGGCUAUCCUAAUGGAUGUGAAGAGAUAGCUCAUUGUAGGCUUGAUUUGCAUUUUGCUAAUAAUUAGUUCUCUCGAGUAUAUUUUCAUAUGCUUUUUGGCCAUUUUACACCAUCUUUAAGAAAUGUCUGUUCAAGUCCUUUGCCCAUUUUUGAAUGAGGUAGUUUUUUUUUGUUGUUGUUUAGUUAUAGCAGUUCUUUAUAUAUUCCAGGUAUUAAUCUCUUAUCAGAUGUAUGAUGUGCAAAUAUUUUCCCAUGCUGUGCAUUGCUUUGCAAUAUUGUUGAUAAUAUCCUUUAAUGUGUAAAAGUUUUAUUUUAUUUUCAUAAAGUCCAAUUUGUCUUUAUUUUUCUCUUGUUGCUUGUGCUUUGGGUGUCCUAUCCUAGAAAUCAUUGCCAAACACAAUGUCAAGAUGUUUUCUACCUGUAUUUUCUUCAAAAAUUUUGUAGUUUAAGCUCUUACAUUUAGGUCUUUGAUCCAUUUUUAUUUGUUUAUGGUGUAGGGUAAAGAACCAAAUGCAUAAUUUUGCAUGUAUGGAUAUCCAACUUCCCCAGCACCAAUUGUUGUAAAGACAGUCCUUUCCCAUUCAAUGAUCUUUACAUCCCCAUCAAAUAUCAUUUGACCAUAUAAAUGAGGGGUUAUUUAUAAGCUGUUUGCUAUUCUGUUUGUCCAUAUGUGUGUCUCUAUGCCAGUACCACACUAUUUUGGAACUCUGUAGUAGGUUUUGAAAUGAGUAAGUAUGAAUUUUUUAACAGCGCUCUUCUUUUUCAAGAUUGUUUUGACUAUUCAGGGUCCCUUGAGAUUCCAUAUGAAAUUUAGGCAGGAUUUCUCUAUUACUGCAAAAGAGUCUUUGGGAUUUUUACCUUCUUGGUUACUUCUAAGGAUUUUAUUCUUUUGGAUGCUAUUGUAAGUGGGAUUGUUUGCUUAGUUUCUUUUUCAGAUUAUUC
rnacentral:lncRNA from 10 species